AGAGUUUGAUCAUGGCUCAGAACGAACGUUAGCGGCGCGCCUAACACAUGCAAGUCGCACGAGAAAGGGCUUCGGCCCCGGUACAGUGGCGCACGGGUGAGUAACACGUGGGUAAUGUUCCCUCAGGCGGGGGAUAACCUUCCGAAAGGAGGGCUAAUACCGCAUGAGACCACGACCUCGAAAGAGGUUGCGGUCAAAGC
rnacentral:rRNA from 1 species